ACGGGAGGCAGCAGUGGGGAAUAUUGGGCAAUGGGCGAAAGCCUGACCCAGCAACGCCGCGUGAAGGAAGAAGGUCUUCGGAUUGUAAACUUCUUUUAUGAGGGACGAGGGAAGUGACGGUACCUCAUGAAUAAGCCACGGCUAACUACGUGCCAGCAGCCGCGGUAAUACGUAGGUGGCAAGCGUUAUCCGGAUUUACUGGGUGUAAAGGGCGCGUAGGCGGGGAUGCAAGUCAGAUGUGAAAUCUAUGGGCUUAACUCAUAAACUGCAUUUGAAACUGUGUCUCUCGAGUGCUGGAGAGGUAGAUGGAAUUCCUUGUGUAGCGGUGAAAUGCGUAGAUAUAAGGAAGAACACCAGUGGCGAAGGCGAUCUACUGGACAGUAACUGACGCUGUGGCGCGAGAGCGUGGGGAGCAAACAGGAUUAGAUACCCUGGUA
rnacentral:rRNA from 1 species